rnacentral:rRNA from 1 species
UGGGGGAUAUUGCACAAUGGGCGAAAGCCUGAUGCAGCGACGCCGCGUGGGGGAUGAAGGCCUUCGGGUUGUAAACUUCUUUUGCUCUGAACAAGGCAUGCUAAUGGGUGCGUUGGGUGUAGGGGUUGAUUAGCGCCGGCUAACUACGUGCCAGCAGCCGCGGUAAUACGUAGGGCGCGAGCGUUGUCCGGAAUUAUUGGGCGUAAAGGGGUUGUAGGUGGCUGGUUGCGUCUGUGGUGAAAGCUCAUGGCUUAACUGUGGGUUUGCGGUGGGUACGGGCUGGGUUGAGGGCAGUAGAGGAGGAUGGAAUUCCUGGUGUAGCGGUGGAAUGCGCAGAUGUCAGGAGGAGUACCGGUGGCGAAGGCGGGUGUCUGGGCUGUUACUGACACUGAGGAGCGAAAGCAUGGGGAGCGAACAGG